rnacentral:rRNA from 1 species
UUGCUACUUUGCUGACGAGCGGCGGACGGGUGAGUAAUGCCUGGGAAUAUGCCUUGAUGUGGGGGAUAACUAUUGGAAACGAUAGCUAAUACCGCAUAAUGUCUUCGGACCAAAGAGGGGGAUCUUCGGACCUCUCGCGUCAAGAUUAGCCCAGGUGAGAUUAGCUAGUUGGUGGGGUAAGAGCUCACCAAGGCGACGAUCUCUAGCUGGUCUGAGAGGAUGAUCAGCCACACUGGAACUGAGACACGGUCCAGACUCCUACGGGAGGCAGCAGUGGGGAAUAUUGCACAAUGGGCGAAAGCCUGAUGCAGCCAUGCCGCGUGUAUGAAGAAGGCCUUCGGGUUGUAAAGUACUUUCAGUCGUGAGGAAGGGUGUGCAGUUAAUAGCUGCAUAUCUUGACGUUAGCGACAGAAGAAGCACCGGCUAACUCCGUGCCAGCAGCCGCGGUAAUACGGAGGGUGCGAGCGUUAAUCGGAAUUACUGGGCGUAAAGCGCAUGCA